ACAGGUGGUGCAUGGUUGUCGUCAGCUCGUGUCGUGAGAUGUUCGGGUUAAGUCCCGCAACGAGCGCAACCCCUACGUUUAGUUGCUAACGCGUGAAGGCGAGCACUCUAGACGAACUGCCGUUGACAAAACGGAGGAAGGUGGGGAUGACGUCAAAUCAUCAUGCCCCUUAUGUUCUGGGCUACACACGUGCUACAAUGGCCGGUACAGACGGACGCAAAGCCGCGAGGUGGAGCAAAUCCUAAAAAGCCGGUCUCAGUUCGGAUUGCAGGCUGCAAUUCGCCUGCAUGAAGUCGGAAUCGCUAGUAAUCGCAGGUCAGCAUACUGCGGUGAAUACGUUCCCGGGCCUU
rnacentral:rRNA from 1 species